GAUGAACGCUGGCGGCGUGCCUAAUACAUGCAAGUCGAGCGAACAGACGAGGAGCUUGCUCCUCUGACGUUAGCGGCGGACGGGUGAGUAACACGUGGAUAACCUACCUAUAAGACUGGGAUAACUUCGGGAAACCGGAGCUAAUACCGGAUAAUAUAUUGAACCGCAUGGUUCAAUAGUGAAAGACGGUUUUGCUGUCACUUAUAGAUGGAUCCGCGCCGCAUUAGCUAGUUGGUAAGGUAACGGCUUACCAAGGCAACGAUCCGUAGCCGACCUGAGAGGGUGAUCGGCCACACUGGAACUGAGACAAGGUCCAGACUCCUAAGGGAGGCAGCAGUAGGGAAACUUCCGCAAUGGGCGAAAGCCUGACGGAGCAAAGCCGCGUGAGUGAUGAAGGUCUUCGGAUCGUAAAACUCUGUUAUUAGGGAAGAACAAAUGUGUAAGUAACUAUGCACGUCUUGACGGUACCUAAUCAGAAAGCCACGGCUAACUACGUG
rnacentral:rRNA from 1 species